CAGUGUGCUGUGACGAAACACUUGUGGACUAGAGUUUCUGAUCUGAGAAUUUACUCAGAAGUUGAUUAUGAAACCCUUGGCUGUCCGAGCACACCA
rnacentral:snoRNA from 1 species